CCAGAAGGUGGGAGAGUGUGGAACUCCACAACAUAGCCUUCUGCCAUGAUGCUGAGGACCCAUCUCAAGCUGCACGAAACCGAGACAACGAGACAUAUGAGAAUCGGAAAAGAAUUAAACUGUGUGCUCCUCAGCAUUAAGCUGUUUCAACUUUUUGCUGGUGAUUGCUGACUUAUAGUGCCUCUUGUGCAAAGAUCAGUGGAGAUUCUUCCCAGAUGAUGCAUCUGGUGUCCUGGAGACCUUGUCAACUGGAAGGGAAUACAGAAAUACUACUACUAAUACUACUACUCAGGGGCUUGGAGACCACUUGAAAGCCUAUGCCAUGACAGUGGUGGCACUGAAGAAAUGACACUUGUUUGCCACCAUUGUGGCUGCAGUGUCAUCCAGUGAAGUUGCCCAAAGUGGUCAGAGAUCUUCUACGUUCAGCCCUACUGGAAGAAAAUGUAGACCACUGCUGUGAAGAAUUUGCAUGCUGUCCAAGCCUGCUGUGAAGAAUUUGCAUGACACUUUAUAGAUAAGAUUUGGGGAUCUACACUGACUGGAAUGCUGUAGUUAAUAUAGGUCCAGUUAAUGUAACCUUGGCUCCUGCCUGUCUUGUUAUUCCAAGUGCUCUCCCAUUCCCAACAUAUCAUAUAGUUUACACAACCUAAUAUUAAGAUACAUAGCCAUUGUAGUCUUGAAUAGCAGUACACAAAAGGAUUCUGUGGUUCCUUUGAGACUGAGGAGUUGUACAGACAAGAGGCAUGCA